rfam:Solanum tuberosum cultivar DM 1-3 516 R44 scf00155_25, whole genome shotgun sequence.
GAGGGAGUUAUUAAAGAGUGUGUUUAUCAUAUAACAUUAAAAGCGAUUCUCUGCGCCUUUCAAAUACUUCUCGUUUUGGUUACUGCCUCGAACAAAUCGCUAAAUU